UGUGGCUUAGUUGGUUAAAGCGCCUGUCUCGUAAACUGGAGAUCUUGAGUUUGACUCUCAGCA
rnacentral:tRNA from 1 species